CAUUCUUACCUCCAAGUGAUCAAUGGGUGAUCAAGAAGGCUAAUAGUCUAGGUUAGUCUUUCAUUGCACGUAGGACGUUUUCCGGUACAUCGUGAAAUGUUCGGCGGAUAUGUCUAUAAACUCUGUAAAUAAGUUACAGUCUAAUAAAAAGAUUCCCUAUCUCUAAUAAAUUUAGCUUGCUAGCACCAUUCGAGAUAAAAUCUGGUUAUAUGCUUCGGGAAUCUGACAGCCCUUACAAUCCACAAGUGUUCUUGUGUCAAGCACAGACUCAGGAGGGAAAGUUGAUGCCUCAGUCGAGUGAUAAAAAUCUGGUGCAGGGAAAUUCCUCAAGGAGAAUAUGGGAACCGAAGUGAAGUACAUAAAACAUUCGAGAAUCAAUUACAAGAUGCCUCCUAAUCUGCAGACGAACACUGAUGAAGCAAAAACUAGUGUCAAGUGUGCGCAUCUAGGGAGAAGAUUAUGAGAUAUCCCACCUCGCAGAAGAAGGAAAUGGGCUAGAAGCAAUUGGUUAUAUGACCCGAAGCAAGCUGCAAAUGACAAGCACGCAGCCGCGCGGUGAGAACAGAGCGAACUAUUCUUUCGCCUUUUACUAAAGAAUACCGUGUUCUCGCCGUAUAUCUCGGCGUACGCCUGUUUUUGGAGGGUUCUCUUCCUUCGAAGUAGACCCCUGACAAUCCUAGCUCAAAGUUUUGCCUUGCAAAUCUGAAAUUCUGGCAUGAAUAUCUAUGGUCUCAUAGCUAUAUCCAAUAAGAAUAAUCUUCUCUGGCUUGUGACUGA